CUAAAAACUUCCCCAAAUAUCUCCGUUCUUACCCUCUUACAAAAUCCUACGCAUCCCAAAUUCCUAUUCUCUUUCUUGUGCUCCCAUCCCGCAUCCUGUCUUGCUAGUGCGUGUGAUUCGCCGAAGAGUCACCCACCGCCGCUGCCUAGUUGCUGCCGGCCAACCAUUUGCCAUCUACUACAACCACAGCCGAUUGCCCAAUGCCGCAUCCCCAGCACGCCGCUGGCCGCUUGACGCAUCCCUUUCUUACUCUUUUUUUUUUUUUUUUUUCUGUAGGUCAAGCAAGGGUUUGAGGGGGCAAAGAGCUUAAAGCUCUAUGCCAAGCUAUUCAACUUGGAUUUUGUACAGACAUGGCACCUGGAGGUCUUAGACGGCUAAGGCAUAGGCUAACCAAACUAAGUAGUCAGUACCAUACUACAGUGUUGAUACAAUCGCAUCAUGUCUAUGCCGAUGCGUCACCGAUACAGUCAGAGGCAACCCAUGCUGAUGUGGCACCAUCAGUUGGGGAGACCCAUGAUGAGGUCAGAGCGUCGUGCAAUGAAAAACACCAUGCUCCGGAGGCAUCUGCAGCUGACGAGAGAGCGUAUUAGGAUAGAGAUCCCUAUUAGCUACACAACAUCGAUGGAUGAUUGGUGCCAGACCCGAGUAUACAAGGUCGGAAUUAUAUGCUGGGAAUUUACUCUAGUUACGUGCCACACUUGGCCACAGGUGACUGAGGAGCAGUUCCUGGUUCUGCAUGAACACAUAUUGUUAAGCUUUCUAACAAGUUGUAUUAAUUUUAAUAUACUUCAUUUAUUUAAUCUCUAACAUUCUAUGAAAUACGCAGACUUCUUUUGAUAUUGAAAUUUUCACGCACCCUCACGUCAAAAAAGCAGUGAACAAGAACUUAGGUGUUUGGUUUAAGAGUUACUGACAUACCAUGCACAAAAAUUUCAAAAAGAUGGGAGAUGAAGCUAAAUUUAAAAAAUGAUACUUGUUUAAUAAGAUCUCCCAUGAAUAUUAAGAGCUGGUGUGUCGAUAUUUUCGUGAUCCUUACUACCAGGUGAUGUGUUUAAAUUUGUACUAUAUUUUGGUAUCGAUGUUAUAUUUUGACUACUAUGCAUUAGCAUUGAUGUGGAUUAUAAUCUCUUUAAAUCUAUACUAUAGGAAAUAUGUCAAAUAAAUGUAGAGAAUCGAAGUAGAUUAGAUGCGAUGCAUCAUGGUGGUUCGAGGUUAUAUGUGCACCAUCGAAGGGUAAUAUCUAUAAAACUAGUAUAGGAUUAAAUUAUAAAUGUUAUGUUGACAGAUGCAAAUUUGUUAAUAUAUGAGGUUUGAUAUGAUAAUAUAGCAUGAUCUAGUCACUAGACAACCAGAGUGCAAGUCUAGUCUGUAUUAGAGAACAUAUCAAAGGAGGUUGGGGGAAUGGUGCCAGGGUGCUCAAAGGAAACAUGUAAGUAUGCUAUAGUUGUAGUUAUUUAGUUUGUUAUUGAAUCCAACUAGCUUAUAACAUUGUUAUUUAAUCAUUUUCUAAUUUUUUAUGAAUGAAAACAAGAUAGGAUGGUCCAAAUAAGGGAUGCAAAUGUUUUCGAAGGUGGCCAGCAACCCAAAGAUGAUGAGAUAUGUGAUUAGGUACUUGAGCAUCUACGAGGGGGUUACAUGAAAGGUUUUGGGGUGGAUACAUAGCCCUAGUAUCAGUAUCGAUAGAUAAUGCUGAAUAUCGUGCUAAGAUUGAGAAAGUGCGUCAAUAGGCAGCAAAUUGUAAGUCAGCUAUCAUAUAGUAGCUGCAGGAUGUUGUUCAGUGGAACAAGGAAAUGGAGCAAUGGCUUGAAGCCAUGAUGCACUAGAAAGCGAAGAUUGAUGAAAUGCUCUACUAGCGUCAAGGAGAUGCUGCGGGUGGCUCCUCCCCUACUUAGUAUGAAUGUUAAUCAUUCAGAACACACACAUGUAAGUGAAGUGGAGCUAGAAAGGACUCAAAGCACAUAAUCUUGACUGAUUCUAUGAAGAGUUAAUAGAAAAAGAAGAAGACAUUUGUUUUGAUUGUAAAUGCAUUUUGUUCCAUUAUUUGGUAUAUAAUAUUAUGGUCGGUAAUAACUGCAUCUUAUGCA